GCGUUCGUGGUGUAAUGGUCAGCAUACUCGGCUCGUUUUCGUGAGAUCCGAGGUUCGAGUCCCGGCCAGCGCA
rnacentral:tRNA from 1 species